GGUUAGGGUGCACCCAGGAAGUCCCUCAGAAGUGGAUUUCACUCUCUUGUUAUAGAAUUAUCAUGAUCUCUCACCACAUAAAAAUUACCUGUUCUCGCACUUCUAAUGUCAGGUUCAGAUAUUCACAUGUAUCUGAGCUUUCUUCCAGUGAGGUUCACCCUGUGCCUAGAAAAGACACCACCACCAUCUCCAGCUUUCUUCACAACCCAGGCUGUAAUACAGUGGUACCUGUGAGGCAAAAGAUCCUACAGAUGGCCAAUGCCCCAGAACAUGGGAGAGACCAACAGCCUGAAUAAAGAGGCAUGCAACACUUAGCACCAGAGUUCAUCAGCCAAAAGACAGCAAAUUCUCCAUGCAGAGGAUGGGCAUAACAACAGAGAAGCAAAACAGCAGGGAAGGGAGUCCAUGGAAAGACAGGCCCACUGUUCUAUGAACAUUUCUUCAGGUGCCAAAGCUGAGCUUUUGGAAGUAAGGAGCAGAAGGUACCUGAUGGAACAUGACGACAAGUCUUAGCUGGAGCAAAUAGCAAUUUCUAAAGGGGAUUUCAGUUUAGUAAAAGCAUAUUAUAGGCAUGUUCAAGGGCAUUUUUAAAGAUGCAGAGGUGGUUCUUGGGCUUACAGUGAGAUUCAGAUUUCUCUGCCUGACUGUAGCUCUAGAACAUCAGUGAGACAGACAACCCUCUUUCCCAAAAGUAGUGAAAUGAGUGAAAAGUGUUGGAACAAGUCCAGAGGAGGGCCACA